UCGAGAAUCUUGGGCAAUGCGCGAAAGCGUGACCCAGCAAUGCCGCGUGCAUGAUGAAGGCCUUCGGGUUGUAAAAUGCUGUCACCCGGGACGAAAAAAAUGACGGUACCGGGGGAGGAAGCCACGGCUAACUACGUGCCAGCAGCCGCGGUAAUACGUAGGUGGCGAGCGUUGUUCGGAUUUAUUGGGCGUAAAGGGUCUGUAGGAGGUUUCUUAAAUUCGAGGUGAAAUCCCGGAGCUCAACUUCGGAACUGCCUUGGAGACUGGGAGACUAGAGUACUGGAAGGGUAAGCGGAAUACCGAGUGUGGCGGUGGAAUGCGUAGAUAUCUGGUAGAACACAGAAAGCGAAGGCAGGUUACUGGACAGCAACUGACUCUCAGGGACGAAAGCGUGGGGAGCAAAUA
rnacentral:rRNA from 1 species